UUCACAGUGAGGAAGAUGUGAUCAUGUGGCUCAAAUCAAAAGUGGAUACCAGCAAGACCUUUGAGCUCUGUCUGUCUCGAGAUAUUAUGCUUGAAAGAGGUCUGAAGUCAUGGAAGCGCAACAAAAAGGCUACACCAAUUAAUCCUUUGCGGAUCAAAUUCCUUGGAGAGGUGGGGAUUGAUACAGGGGCCCUUAGAAAAGAGUUUCUGACCACAAUGGUAUCUGCGUUGAGCAACGCCUUUUUGAAGGUGGGAAGUCCAAAAUGCCCAAAUAUUCUGUGAAUGACUUUGAUGAGAGCUCUUCAGGAUUGCGGGUGAAAUCUUUGCUACAAGCAUUGCCCAAGGUGGACCUGCACCACGUUUCCUCCAGCGGUGCUGCUACAACUUUCUAGUAUAUGGAAAGCUCUCAUUGGAUCACGUCCUGGACCCGAGCUUAUCACCGCUAAUAACAACAGUUGCAGAGGCGUCCGACAUGACUACAUUGCAGACAUUAUGGAUUGUGGCUAUACUGGCAAGAUCGACAUGGAACACAAAAAGAACAUUCUAAGAGCAGUCGGUCUGCAUGUCAUGAUGAAAAGAAUGUCCAUGCUUCAGCAACUCCGUGAGGGCUUGGACCUCUACGGCUUCUCCCAAGUGAUGCAGGCAAAGACGGAAGAGUGCCGCAGUCUGUCGCCGGAGAUGAGGAGUCGGUGGACUCUCAUUACAUCACUUCCCAUCUGGCGCCGGAGAUGAGCGAAAGGGGCUGCAACAAGCACCACAAGGAGACCCAGAUCCUUGAACACUUUCAAGACUUCCUGCACGAGUUGGAAGUUGCUGAACCAGAUGCCACGUCUGAAGACAUCACAACUGUACCCUCAGUGAUGCAGUGGAUUACGGGUCAAGCCCACAGAAAUCUUCUUCUUUCUGAUUGCCAGAACUUCAAGAUCACAGUGAAGUUUGACCAUGACUGUCACAAGAUGCCUAAGCACACAAUCUGUUAUCCAACAGUCAGCGCUUGCACAGACACCAUAACAUUCCCUGUUGCACACGUCAGACUAUGGGUCUUUCAAAAACGUCAUGUCAACAGCCAUUAAAUAUGGUGCAGGAUUUGAUAGAGCGUGAUGCAUUGUGUUUCAUGUAAGCCCACAUGUUAUAUCCUCGAAUAUGUCCGGAUUCUACAGGUGAGCUGUGAACUAGCAUGGUCUUAACAUACUGUUCAGGGUAAAAUCUGACCAAUUUUAACAUUUGUGAGGGUUAAUCUAUUGUGUUUUUAGUUGUCAUAUUGUAAGACACCCACGUUGCUUUUUUUUUGAAAACUUUCAUUCACCAAUGUUAAUUAACAAGAGACAAAAUUGUGACAUCAGCACACCUUGAGGAUUUUUUGGAAAUCUGUUCUUGGUGAUUUACAGUUUAAUGUAUUCUUCCAGAUAUUCAUCUGUUCGAUGAAGUCUUUUAUUAUUCCUAGACUUUUGGUAGAUUUUAAAGAUCAUUAUAGUUGAUGCUACUGUGUGAGUGAGGUUCGAGUAAUGUAGUUGACAGCACAUUUUCUGUUCUCGUGCAAGGCUGUCCUCAGACAUUCAUGUAAAAGGACAUUUUAUGUUUUCAAGGACUAUAAACCACAA